GAGUUUGAUCCUGGCUCAGAACGAACGCUGGCGGCAGGCUUAACACAUGCAAGUCGAACGCCCCGCAAGGGGAGUGGCAGACGGGUGAGUAACACGUGGGAACGUGCCCAAAGGUACGGAACAACUCCCGGGAAACUGGAGCUAAUACCGUAUGUGCCCGAAAGGGGAAAGAUUUAUCGCCUUUGGAUCGGCCCGCGUCUGAUUAGCUAGUUGGUGGGGUAAUGGCCUACCAAGGCGACGAUCAGUAGCUGGUCUGAGAGGAUGGCCAGCCACACUGGGACUGAGACACGGCCCAGACUCCUACGGGAGGCAGCAGUGGGGAAUAUUGGACAAUGGGCGCAAGCCUGAUCCAGCCAUGCCGCGUGAGUGAUGAAGGCCUUAGGGUUGUAAAGCUCUUUCGCCAGGGACGAUAAUGACGGUACCUGGAUAAGAAGCCCCGGCUAACUUCGUGCCAGCAGCCGCGGUAAU
rnacentral:rRNA from 1 species